rnacentral:rRNA from 1 species
UACGGAGGGUGCAAGCGUUGUCCGGAAUCACUGGGCGUAAAGGGCGCGUAGGCGGCUCAUGAAGGCUGUGGUGAAAGUCCGGGGCUCAACCUCGGAUCGGCCGUGGCGACUCGUGGGCUGGAGCACUUUAGAGGCGGGUGGAAUUCCGGGUGUAGCGGUGGAAUACGUAGAGAUCCGGAAGAACACCAGUGGCGAAGGCGGCCCGCUGGGCAGUGGCUGACGCUGAGGCGCGACAGCGUGGGGAGCAAACAGG